rnacentral:rRNA from 1 species
CAUGGUGCAGGGGUAAAAGAUUUAUCGGUGUGAGAUGGAUCCGCGUCUGAUUAGCCAGUUGGCGGGGUAACGGCCCACCAAAGCGACGAUCAGUAGCCGGCCUGAGAGGGUGAACGGCCACAUUGGGACUGAGACACGGCCCAAACUCCUACGGGAGGCAGCAGUGGGGAAUAUUGCACAAUGGGCGCAAGCCUGAUGCAGCAACGCCGCGUGAGUGAAGAAGUAUUUCGGUAUGUAAAGCUCUAUCGGCAGGGAAGAAAGGCCCUUAACAGGGAGAUGACGGUACCUGACUAAGAAGCCCCGGCUAACUACGUGCC